GCCAAGUUUUGAGUGCAGCUGGGCUAGUUCAUGGUUACAGAUGAGCACUGUGUGAAACGGAGUGAUUUCAACCUGAAAUCAGGCAGAACACGUUGGCUUAGGCUGGAUGUGCUGGGAGUUAUGGAGUUCGUAGGAAACCAAAACUCAGAAGGGGAUAAGCCCACAGAAACCAAAGCAAACACAGGGAUUUGCAGGAGUGCCUACAAGCCAAACCAUCACUGUUGGGAAGGACUUUACAUAUGGCAAACACACUGACCUUUGUGUCAAGGAUGAACAUGCACUGAAAGUCUCUAGGAAAACUCACAGAAACCCAAACUUGCUAAAGUCUCCAACCUUUUGCCAAGCUGCAAGGUGCAAAGCCCAGAUCAUGCAAUACACUUCCACAUGAAGUUCAAUAUUUAGUUCAACCCUUUCAUGUAAAUCUCUGAGCUGGACAAAUUGCAAGCGAAGGAAGUAAAAGACUUCCAGGAAUCUGUUGUGAAAAGGCUGAUGAUUACAGCUGAGAUUCCUUCUGUAUGAGAAAACCAUCCCUUGGCUGAUGGUGUGGCUGCAUCUUGGAACAUCAAACACAGUGUUUAUGUAAAUCUGAGUGUUCUUCUGCUUGUUCUGCUGCAAAAGCCAUUCUCUCUGGGACACAGAAGGAAAUCCAGUGAGACAAGGUAAUAGAGAUGGAAGGCUGCUAAUGGAAAGAUUAGGUCUCUGGGCUGUCAGACUUGUCUCUCUUAAGCACAUGUUUAUGCUUUAAGUUAAAUAAUACAGCAUGUUUAUGCAUGUGAAUAUAUAUAUAUACUGCAUAUGUAUCUGAAUGUAUGAAUGGUAAGAUGCUGUUCUGUGCAAGAAAGUCACAUCACACUAGUUUCACAUUUUUAUGUAUUAUAUUACAUUUCAUUACAUUUAUAUUACAAUGUAAAAGGUUUCUGCCUUUCCCCAGAAAAUGCAAUCUUAACAUUCAUGCGCUCGUGUUCAACAAGCCUGUACACACUCAGGCUCUCGGAGAGCAAGUUGGUUUGGAUGUUACCAGGAUUUUCUUGCCCUGCAGAUGGUUCCUGUGCCUCCUAGCUCUGAAUAAAAAAUGUCCUUUCCAUUGCUUCAAUGCUGGACUCAAGUCCUGUUGAGGGAAUCAGUGGGUCAGGGUUCCCACUACUCACGAUGUCCUUGUCCUUUUUUCCAUAAAAAAUUUUGUAUGUUCCUGUCACUGUACUUAAUAAACAACUUAAAAAAAAAAAACACCAAACCCUAUCCAUUUAAGUCCUUUCUACUUUACCAAGUCUUAUUUUCCUGCACUUUGCAGACCUUGAUAUUACUUGCAGCAACUUGAACUUGGUGCAUCAUAACUGCACUUAGAGAUCAGGUCUCUCCAUUUGUUUCUCUUUGUAGGAGUAAGGAUUUAUUUCCUGGUUUGUGUCUGUGAGCUCUGGGACAGAAUUACCUUCGUGUGUUUAUUUUCUGUGACAGUCUUUGUAAAGCUCUUUGGAGAUACUUUAUAGUUUCUGAAAAUAAUAGAAAGGGAGGGGAAGGCGUUGAUUGUGCUUCAUCUUCUUCUUCAUUGUCUUCCCACUUCUUUUGUUCCACCUUGAGGGGAAGAGAGGACACUAAAGGAAGAGCUCAUGCCUCCCGCUGAAGCCUUUAACUGAAAUGAGCCACAUCUGGACAGACAUAGCAGCAUACUGACCUAAUUCUUCAGGUUGUGCAGCUGUGUACUCACUAUUUUAAGAGAUAAAUGGAUAACAGUCUCUCCAUUCUGCAGUGUAAAUUGACCAAAGCCUCUUCAUGUCAGUGAAGCGACAUGAAGUUGUGAAAACUGAGAGCCUGGGGCUAAAUGUUAACUGCAAAAAGACAAGGCAGCCAUUGCAUUGGACUUUCAAAAAUUAUUGUGACCUCACAGCAUUUUCAGGUAGAAAUGGUGAUCUAUUUUAAAAAAAACCCUAUGUCUAGGUUGAAAGGACUUUGUUGAUAUUCACUGGGGUAUCACAAUACAGAUCUUAGUGGGCUGCCCAGGGUCAUCAUGUUGUUCAAACUGAUUUUUCUCAGCAGGGAUGUUUUCUGCCUUUUCAGAUUUUUUUUUAUUUUUUUUUUUUAUCAGGGUUAUAUUUUUGAAGGUGUCUGUACUCUUGUUGGCUGCUGGACAGCUGUAUCACAAGGAUUUCCCUCUGGUAUAAAACACAGAGCUCUUCUGUAUCAGUGUGGAAUGCAGUAGCAAAUCACUGUACAGUGGCCCAUAAGGAUACCAGCUACCCUUAUAAACUUUUUAUAACUUAGGAAAAUAAACAUGUGGUUUCAGGGCUCUGCAUAGUCAGUGCUAGCUGAAUUGGAGCUUGCUUUACGAAGCUAAAAAAGAAAAUAUUGGUAGAGCUAAUAAAUUUCCGAGGGAAUCAGCGAAUAGUGUUCUGAAAGGUCUGAAACAUUUGAUGGUUUAUGGAUAACUUUGUAUUUUAUCUCUCAAAGCAUCAUCCAAGUUGAGCACUAAAGUGCAGUGUUCUCUAUAAUGAGUGCUGUGAUCUGGGAGCUCCUGUGGGACACCAGCCUCACAUCAGGUUAUCCAUGGAAAGACCUGCUAAUCCAGGGGAUGUGAUGUGCUCUCUGCAAGGCCAGCAGACGUGUCUCUCUCACUCAGGGAGAAAAUAACUGGUCGUAGCAGCAGCAAGAAAGCAACCACAUCUAUGCAGCUGCAGCCUUUGCACAUGAAAGGGUAAACUGUGCUCUGGCUUUUGGGAGGCUUUCCUGGUGACACCUUCACUCCUUACCUCAGGUGAACAUUGCAGUGUGUCCUGCCAUGACCUACUCUCUGAAUUGUGGUGACAUCCAAGGAGAGGAGCAACAGACCAGACAGUCGGAACUCUCCCACGCAACUUCCCUGGCACAGACCAGCAUCACCACUGAGCAUCUCCCUCCUCUGCUGCUGGUCCUGUCACACAGCUGGGCUUCAAAAGAGGAUGCUCCUCUCCCACGUGCUUCAAAGAGAAACCAGGAGCCACAGAACAAUUACUCCCACUCACAAGACGAGGGGAAAUCCUCUUCUAACAAGGGAUCAUCCUGUUACAACGAGGAUGUCUGGUGAUUUAUGACUUGCUGCUUUAAACUCUCCUUCCCCUCUGAAGAAACACAGGAGACAGCAAAGCUGGAGGGAGAUACAAGAGAGAACUGACAUUGGCAAUACUUGAAAUAUAGUGGGAGAGCUGGGAAAGCCCUUUCUUUCUGUCCUCAUUAGCAUGACUUAAUUAAUACUUAUAAUCUUAUCAAACAGAGGUUGCCAUGCAGGAGGGAUGAGCAGGCUGGAAAUCAAAGCUUUAAUAACUAGAUAUUUUAAGACCAAAAAAGCACCACUGUAAUUUUGCCUGGCUUCCUGUGUAAUUGAUGCCAGAGACAGACCUUUUCAACUGAAAAAAAAAAAAAAAAGUGGAUAUAAUGGGAAAGUGUAAUUAUUGUGAUAUUUUUGGGUAAAACUUGUAACAAGAAAACUUUGAGUGGUUUAUUCUGCAAAAUCCAACUUAUCUGCACUUGAUUGGAUUCCAUUUUCAUUUUCUACUCUUAAAUGUCCUCUAAAUACCAAAGACUGCAUGCUCUGUAGAGCUUAUACAUCCAUUUUCCUAACCUUUUUUUCUCUUAUU